rnacentral:rRNA from 1 species
GACGAACGCUGGCGGCGUGCCUAAUACAUGCAAGUUGAGCGAUGAAGAUUGGUGCUUGCACCAAUUUGAAGAGCAGCGAACGGGUGAGUAACGCGUGGGGAAUCUGCCUUUGAGCGGGGGACAACAUUUGGAAACGAAUGCUAAUACCGCAUAAUAACUUUAAACAUAAGUUUUAAGUUUGAAAGAUGCAAUUGCAUCACUCAAAGAUGAUCCCGCGUUGUAUUAGCUAGUUGGUGAGGUAAAGGCUCACCAAGGCGAUGAUACAUAGCCGACCUGAGAGGGUGAUCGGCCACAUUGGGACUGAGACACGGCCCAAACUCCUACGGGAGGCAGCAGUGGGGAAUCUUCGGCAAUGGACGAAAGGCUGACCGAGCAACGCCGCGGGAGUGAAGAAGGUUUUCGGAUCGUAAAACUCUGUUGGUAGAGAAGAACGUUGGUGAGAGUGGAAAGCUCAUCAAGUGACGGUAACUACCCAGAAAGGGACGGCUAACUACGUG